GUGGCUGGUUUAGCAAUAAGCCUCGGUAGAUUUGUUCACCUAAACCACUUGGUGAUUACUGUUUGGAGUACCUUAAAUAAGAGUAGAGACCUCUCCAACUUGGUUCUGCCCCUUAAUUUUACUUUCAUGAUGGAGAAAUUUUGCAAGUCCAUUCACUCAACCAUGUUUUCUAGUAAUUUAGUGGUUUUUGGUUCAUAACUAGAAUCAGAAUUGGCAUGGGAAUCGGAAUAGAUUGGAAUCAAAAUUGAAAUGGCCAAAUCUCCGAAAGUGUUUGGUUCG
rnacentral:lncRNA from 1 species